CAUUGCUCUAUCUCAGCAGGCAAAUCUAUAAAGUAAUCCUGUUCACCUGUGCUCAGAUCAAAUUCUAUUCAGAGAAAGAACUUCAGCUGAAAGCUUCUCCAAAGGCACCACUGCUGUAUAUCUUCAUUUGCCUUUGACUGAAGCUGCAGACGUCCAUCGGCUGUUACCCUGAGGGGAAUGGAGGAAGAGACUGGCAGAGGAAAGACAGGCAAGGAAAUAGGAACUUUGAGCAGGAGGAGAAGAAGCAGAGUUAUCCACGGUCUUAUUACGGUGGGAAAUGUAAGGGUCUUGAUCCAAAGGAAUGAUGAAGGACUCUGUGGAGGAGGCCUCUGAGAACCAACAAAGACUGCUUUAGUUUCACUGGCAGAAUGCAUUUGCAUAGCUUAGAAGCCAAAACGUCUGAACCGGGGCUCAUGAAAAGGGAACCUCAGCAAUUGCUUGGACUUCAAUGCAAACUAGAGGGAGCAGGAGACAGAAGGAGAAAAAAGGAAGCAGAAGUGGGAUUGUGUGGAAAGAAAGCAGGAGGAACUUUUUUCUUCUCUUCAGCAGCACAAUACAAAUGAGAUCAGGGACAUCUGUGCAUCCCAUGGAGGUUGUCUGACUGACUUUGAUGCAAAGAGAACAUAGUGAAGGCGGUUCGUCUCCUGGAACAGUAACAAGCGCAACAGCAUUUCCAUGCAAUCAUAAAAGUCAUGUUCCAUUGUAGCUUUUUGAUACUAACAGUUAGAGCCUUUUAGCUGUCACUACCAUUACACACAAAUGCUCCUUGGACUACUUAACUGGGUUGUAGACCACAUAUUUAGAUUUGCUGCAAUGAAGGAGCAACUUUUGACUGAAUGGAAACAACACAAGGGUGAGUAGAGUUCAAUAUAACAAAGCAAUAUGUAGGAGAAAUGUGAUGAAUAACUGAAAAAUCCUGCACAAGAUAAUGGAAGGUGGAAGAAACAAAGAGAAUAAGAUGUUGGUACUUUAGUGGCAGCUCACUCUCUCUUUGGCCUGCGGUCAUGGUGGGAUGACUAGCCUUCAUCAAUUCUCUUUAAUGACUGUGGCAGCACCACUUAACACACUGCUAUGUGAUUUCUUCAUUACUGCAUCAUGAUAUCACCAUUUAGUCAAUGACGAUGGCAUCAAGUGAUGCCCGCAGAUAAAAAUAACCAGAGAAAAUCUAUUAAAUGUUCAAGUCAUCUGCUUGAGGGUCCAUUUAAAAACCAAAGAAAUGAAAGAUGCACUUAAUGUAACAUAUCAUGCUAUAAAGUCUACUGGCAAAAAACUUCAGUGUAACUAACUGAAGAGAAAAGUACAAGUGUUGUGUAUUUUAUUAGGAAUGGAUCAGUAGGAGAUUAUGAUGGUAUUUAAUAUUGACCUAAAAUUUAAAAACACUUUUUUGCUACAUUAUUCAUGAUUUUUACUAGGGCUGAUUUACCGCAGGAUUAAAAAAAGCCAUAUUUUUUGUCACAAUAAAGUCUGUCUCCCGAAGGGCUAUCCAGUUGUUAUCACCUCACAGUUUUAUCAUAUCUAAAAAUGUGUAUUCUAAGUUUUCCCUCAAAAAUUGCUAAAAUCUUGUCUGGUCUUAUGACAUGGAAAAACGUUUUAAACCGAGAAGUUUGUCUACAUAAAUUUUCUUCCUGCCUCUACACACAAACUGACUGAAGGUGGUGGAAGGGCAAAUGCUGCUCUAUUCCGUUAAUGUUUAAACAGUAAAGUGCAUGCAUUGUAUUGUGUGUUGACGUUUUUAUUGUCUUCUUUAAUGUAUGGGAAUGCUUCAAAUUAAUUUCCUAUUAUUAUAAAUUACUAUCAACUAAAAUUAUUGAUGAUUGGCAUGUUAUUAAAAGGUGUUUAACACACAGUAUCUGUAAAUUGAAGUCUCUUUAUAAAACCAAAGAAUGCUUUGGAACCUUUAACUGUAUCCAGUGUAAUUAAAGACAACUUUUUGAGAAAGAAAAUCAAAAUGCCAUUGUUUU